AGAGUUUGAUCAUGGCUCAGAUUGAACGCUGGCGGCAUGCCUUACACAUGCAAGUCGAACGGCAGCACGGGGGCAACCCUGGUGGCGAGUGGCGAACGGGUGAGUAAUACAUCGGAACGUGUCCUGUAGUGGGGGAUAGCCCGGCGAAAGCCGGAUUAAUACCGCAUACGACCUAAGGGAGAAAGCGGGGGAUCUUCGGACCUCGCGCUAUAGGGGCGGCCGAUGGCAGAUUAGCUAGUUGGUGGGGUAAAGGCCUACCAAGGCGACGAUCUGUAGCUGGUCUGAGAGGACGACCAGCCACACUGGGACUGAGACACGGCCCAGACUCCUACGGGAGGCAGCAGUGGGGAAUUUUGGACAAUGGGGGAAACCCUGAUCCAGCAAUGCCGCGUGUGUGAAGAAGGCCUUCGGGUUGUAAAGCACUUUUGUCCGGAAAGAAAACCUUCGAGCUAAUACCUUGAGGGGAUGACGGUACCGGAAGAAUAAGCACCGGCUAACUACGUGCCAGCAGCCGCGGUAAUACGUAGGGUGCGAGCGUUAAUCGGAAUUACUGGGCGUAAAGCGUGCGCAGGCGGUUUGUUAAGACAGAUGUGAAAUCCCCGGGCUUAACCUGGGAACUGCAUUUGUGACUGGCAAGCUAGAGUAUGGCAGAGGGGGGUAGAAUUCCACGUAGCAGUGAAAUGCGUAGAUAUUUGGAGGAACACCAAUGGCGAAGGCAGCCCCCUGGGUUAACACUGACGCUCAUGCACGAAAGCGUGGGGAGCAAACAGGAUUAGAUACCCUAGUAGUCC
rnacentral:rRNA from 1 species